AACAAAACGGCCCUGAGGAAGCAGAUAGCACAAUGACAAGAGUAAGCUCACUAAAUGGCGGCAUCCAUGAGCCGCCCUGCUCCUGUCUGCAGUGGAUGGAACUGAGGUCCUAGACAACAGGAUGGAGUGGCGAGGGUCAGGAUCAGAAAAUGACAGACAGCUUAGUCUGGCUGCUGUUUGCCGUGGUAGCAAGAUGGCUCUGGUCCGUAUCUAUGCUAGUAGAGGUUUAUAGCAAGGCCAAGGACCUGCCCUGUGGGGUGUCGCCUGGGUGGCAGAAAGGUGCCUGCAGUCAUGCAAGUAUACAGAGUAGUGAUGGUGUGUGAGUGAUACCCACGCCCCAAACUCAGCCGCCUCCAAAACCUACAGUGAGGACUCACAUGCUUCCUGCUGGGGCUAUGUGGGGAAAGGGUGUGUGAGUUCUGCCUGUCCACAGCUUUCUGGGCCCUACAGUCACCUAGACUCCUAUACAUAUGUAGCAGAUGAGCAGCUUGGACCUUCACCGGGCUUUCCUGUCACAGAAGCAUCACCGAAGAAUGGGGAGGAUGCCAUGAAGACCGCUGUCUCCAUGUAAGGAAGGUGGUGGCAUCAGGGGACAGGAGGAGCUACUGUGAAUGGAGACUGUUCCUGGCUGCUACCACAAUCCCCAGAGAAGAACCCAAUUAAGGACCCACACUGUGCCCAGGGCGGAGCAGCAACGUGUGGCAUCAGCACAGGAAGUGUAGGUGAGGGUCAGGCUGAAGAAGAUAAGCACAGGCACGCUCCCCUCCUGACUGGAGGAAACACAGGAAUGCCCCAGGGCUUUCAGUAAGAGUUAUGGCCUUGCCCUUCCUGACAGAUAUGAUAGUCCUAAAUGAAACAAAACCCCACAGUCUUGAAGAUAAAGGAAGGAACGGCUCUGGAAUCCAGAGCAGGAGUUUACAAACAAGGGUGGUCAUGAGUGAACUCACGAAUGACAGACAAGCAGGGUCAAAGGAUCCUCUACACAAGCAACGACAGUUCAGAAACCAGGCGGACGUCAAAGCCUUCAGGAGAAGCUGCAAAGCAAAUUCCCUACACUAAUGAGAGACCAGAGCUUCUUAGGUCUGCCACUCACUGAGUGUGAUUGUGUGUGUGUGCACACAUAUGUGUGCCUGUGCGUGUGUGUACAUAUACAGUUAUGCAUCCAGGUAUGCAUGUGUGCAUACACACGUGUGUGUGUGUAUGUGUGUGUGUGUGUGUGUGUGUGUGUGUGUGUGUGUGUGUGUGUGUGAGAGAGAGAGAGAGAGAGAGAGAGAGAGAGAGAGCAAGAGAGAGAACAUGUAUGUCUGUCAUGGGACAACCCUGAGCCUUCAAGCCCAGAGAGUUUCUUAUGACUUCAUGAGUCACCACAGACUUGCUGUCUUCAAACAAUACAAGAAUUCCAGGAAAAGAAAGGAAUGUCUGCCAUUUAACAGAAACAGGAUUCAAGACAACCUCAUUAAAAAGUAGGCAAAACGUAUUAUGCCUCAAAGAAGAUAUAAGAGUUACUGUCUGCACAUGAAAGAAACGUUCGGUAUCUGCUAGCACUGGGGAAGCCGAAGCCACGUUGAGAUAACACUUCAGACUCACUAGGAUGACCACAUAUGGAAAUGAAACGAAACAAAACAACCUCGUGGCCCCUGGAGACCCAGCAUCCUCAGCAUCAGAGCUGUCUGGAAGGCUGUGAGGGAUGGUGGUAAGAUCCUCUCUGCAGGGGAUAAACACGCAGGAAUGUGUGUGUCCUGCUUAACUGUGGGUUCCAUUUACACUCGUGGACUUAAGAAACCAAAAGCUGGCAUCACAGAAAAUGGGAAAGCAUGAUGAAUUCUGAGAAAACCAGAAGGUGCGACUACACUGGGUGAGUGGAGCAAGAUCCCGCUGGAUCAAGGACAGAGUGAGGUGAUGAUGCCAGAGUCUCCAUGCGCUCCGCCCCAGGAUACUAGGGCUGAAGACUGCAAGGUGGUGUCCCCCAACCACCUGAUGCCCAGACCUCUCCCUCAGCUGGUCCUACAGCCCCAGGCUACCCUGGACACAGCAGACCAGUCAGUCAGUGGCAGCCUGAGCUGGAAGAGGCCAGGGGCUCUCAAAAGAAACACAGGGCAAGGCUGUUGUAACAUGUCACCACCAGGAUAGGUCUAAAGGGAGAAGGUUUUGCUGUCCCUGUGAGCACCCUGUAGGAGGAAUUCCUAAAGGCACCUGACUGUAAGCAGCCCUGAGCAGACUCCCAAGUCCCUCCCUAGACACUGGAGUAUGUGGCCCCCCAGCAGGCACAGAGGCCCUGUAGUCUGUGUCUUUGGGGGGAGUUCAGGGGAAAACAAGGGCACAUGUGUGAGGAGAGAGUAGCUUGGAGAGACCUGGAAGCUAAGAGAGGCCCAAGACCCAGCACAGGGCUCCCUGAGGCGGAGGAAGGGGACGGUGUGCAGGGCCAUUUGAGGGAGAGCUGACAGCGCAGGAAGGGGAAGUUGAUGGGAAGACUCAGGAGAGAUGGCAAGAACUGGAGUUUAUGCCGGGAUCUGAAUGAAAUGAGGAGAAUCCUCAAGUGUGCAGCUCUAAGCAGGGAUUGGGGAAGGGGACAACAGAAACCAAGGAUUGUGAAAAAGCCAGACGGAAAUGCUAUU